UACGAAGGGGGCUAGCGUUGCUCGGAAUUACUGGGCGUAAAGGGCGCGUAGGCGGAUACUUAAGUUAGAGGUGAAAGCCCAGGGCUCAACCCUGGAACAGCCUUUAAUACUGGGUAUCUUGAGUUCGGGAGAGGUGAGUGGAACUCCGAGUGUAGAGGUGAAAUUCGUAGAUAUUCGCAAGAACACCAGUGGCGAAGGCGGCUCACUGGCCCGAUACUGACGCUGAGGUGCGAAAGCGUGGGGAGCAAACAGG
rnacentral:rRNA from 1 species